UUGAAUUCGUCGUUUUGAGAUACUAGGAACAUAGAUUGACCUCGGUGAAGCUUUUAAAUGAAUUUAUAUUGCUGAAAAUUUAAAGUACGAUGUUUGCAAAAAGUUUUCAACGAAUUUCAAUGAUGCUAGGAAAUCAAAUGUCUAAGUUUAGAUAUUGGGGAAAGUUCUAAAUAUGUUUAGGAUGCAUUUAGAAUGCUUUAUUAUGGUUGCCAAUGAUUAGAAAUUGAUUGGGAUUACUUGCUGGUUGUUUUAGGCGGAGAAUUCUCUUUAGGCGACUUUUGAAAGUGUUAAAGUGGCCUAUCAAUUUGUUUACACAAGUCUCUAAGGAUCAAUAAGCAUUGUCCAUCUGCAGGUUUGAAGAUGUUGCAUCAUUGGGAUCGGGAAUAGAGAGCUUGUAUUUAGUUUUGAUUUGCUAAGUUGACUUGGGUUUGUUUAAAUGGACUUUAAACUUGUCAUACUAUUUAUAUUUCCUUAUUUUCGUUGGUUGAUUUUUGAGACUAAACCUGUAAUCGAUUAUUUAUAAACCUAAAGUUAGUUUUAUGUUUUC